rnacentral:rRNA from 1 species
ACGAACGCUGGCGGCACGCUUAACACAUGCAAGUCGAACGAGAGAAGAGAAGCUUGCUUUUCUGAUCUAGUGGCGGACGGGUGAGUAACACGUGAGCAAUCUGCCUUUCAGAGGGGGAUACCGAUUGGAAACGAUCGUUAAUACCGCAUAACAUAAUUGAACCGCAUGAUUUGAUUAUCAAAGAUUUAUCGCUGAAAGAUGAGCUCGCGUCUGAUUAGCUAGUUGGUAAGGUAACGGCUUACCAAGGCGACGAUCAGUAGCCGGACUGAGAGGUUGAUCGGCCACAUUGGGACUGAGACACGGCCCAGACUCCUACGGGAGGCAGCAGUGGGGAAUAUUGCACAAUGGAGGAAACUCUGAUGCAGCGAUGCCGCGUGAGGGAAGAAGGUUUUAGGAUUGUAAACCUCUGUCUUCAGGGACGAAAAAAGACGGUACCUGAGGAGGAAGCUCCGGCUAACUACGUGCCAGCAGCCGCGGUAAUACGUAGGGAGCGAGCGUUGUCCAGAAUUACUGGGUGUAAAGGGAGCGUAGGCGGGAUCGCAAGUCAGAUGUGAAAACUAUGGGCUUAACCCAUAAACUGCAUUUGAAACUGUGGUUCUUGAGUGAAGUAGAGGUAAGCGGAAUUCCUAGUGUAGCGGUGAAAUGCGUAGAUAUUAGGAGGAACAUCAGUGGCGAAGGCGGCUUACUGGGCUUUAACUGACGCUGAGGCUCGAAAGCGUGGGGAGCAAACAGGAUUAGAUACCCUGGUAGUCCACGCCGUAAACGAUGAUUACUAGGUGUGGGGGGACUGACCCCUUCCGUGCCGCAGCAAACGCAAUAAGUAAUCCACCUGGGGAGUACGACCGCAAGGUUGAAACUCAAAGGAAUUGACGGGGGCCCGCACAAGCAGUGGAGUAUGUGGAUUAAUUCGAAGCAACGCGAAGAACCUUACCAGGUCUUGACAUCGUAUGCAUAGCUCAGAGAUGAGUGAAAUCUCUUCGGAGACAUAUAGACAGGUGGUGCAUGGUUGUCGUCAGCUCGUGUCGUGAGAUGUUGGGUUAAGUCCCGCAACGAGCGCAACCCUUACUGUUAGUUGCUACGCAAGAGCACUCUAGCAGGACUGCCGUUGACAAAACGGAGGAAGGUGGGGAUGACGUCAAAUCAUCAUGCCCCUUAUGACCUGGGCCUCACACGUACUACAAUGGCUGUCAACAGAGGGAAGCAAAGCCGCGAGGUGGAGCAAACCCCUAAAAGCAGUCUUAGUUCGGAUUGUAGGCUGCAACCCGCCUACAUGAAGUCGGAAUUGCUAGUAAUCGCAGAUCAGCAUGCUGCGGUGAAUACGUUCCCGGGCCUUGUACACACCGCCCGUCACGCCAUGGGAGUCGGUAACACCCGAAGCCUGUAGUCUAACCGCAAGGAGGACGCAGUCGAAGGUGGGAUUGAUGACUGGGGUG